rnacentral:lncRNA from 1 species
UUUAAUUUCCGAAGCAUACAAUUUACUUUCUCACGAUAGUUUCUACACCGGAAACUAUUGUGUAAUUUUUACUGGAUCUAACCUUACGUUAGAUCAUAGUAUUUUAUUUCCUUGUUUUUACUUUCCUAUCUGAUCGAGAAUUGUGAAGAACAAAUCCAACCGACUUGUGAUGGAGUGUUCGAGCAUCGAAGCGUAGGAGAUAAAAUCCAGAUUUCUAGUAUUUUUC